AAAGUUUGCUGUUGUUGGAAUUUUAUUUGAAGGGAUGUCGAAGCGAAAAAAAGAAAAAUCAUUUGAGCUUUCUGAUGAUGAUGGAGUAACAGUCAAACAUUUUUUUGAUAUUUGCGGUUAAUUCGAUGUAAAAUCAUCAUCAUCUGUCGCUUCUCGUCAUUUGGGCUUUGGAAAUUGGUGAGUUGAUGUUAAAAUUUGUUUGUUUUUGUUUCAUUUCAGAUUGGGUUUAGUAGAAGAAAAAUCAGCCGCUAUCCGAUAAUGUGCAUCAGGAAACAUCGAAAAAGGCAAAUCCCGCUCUGCAUGGGCCGCCAGGCGCCGGACGGCUGGUUUAUUGAUGGCUGGAGCAGUCUCCGCGUCCGAGAAGUAGGAUAUGUCACACGCAGAACCAUUCCCGAUUCGAUUACGCCGAAGAAAGUGGAAAGGUUACAGCAGAAAACGGCAUCCGAAUCCGGCAACAGCAAAAGUUAAUAACAUAGGAAAAGCACAGACGGUUCUUAAGAUAAAGGAACAGGAAGGCAAAGCGCAUGUACAGGACUAAUACUGCAGAAACAGCUGGGAAACGAGCUGAACCAAGAGAUGUUGGAUCUGACCUUAAAUAUUCUUAGUGCCAAUCCGGCCAUCGUCUCAGUUGAAUCUGCAUCGGUGUGCAUCGAAAAGUUCUGCCAUUCUACCGGCUUGAGGGAGCAACCGUCUCGGUCUGGUCAGUUCAUCGGAACUGUUUGAAAAGAUUCUGAUUUCCCUCCCGGCCUUAAGGUAACAGAAAUGUGAAUCGAUACGGAAGGUCAUGGAAAUUUCAAGUUGAGCCAUAUAGGUUUGAGUUUCUGCCGAAAAAAAAUAUUUAAAAUACAAUAUUUCGCUACCACGACGGUUGGUCUUAUAUUUUAUGAACAAUAAUAAAGAUUUUAUU